AGGCAGAGUAGAGAUUGUGGAGGGAUAAACUCUACCAAUUUGAAACGAAAUCUUUCUAACAUUCUUCAUAGUGAGUCUUGGAGUUGGGACCAAAUCCUAAAUAAACCAGUGGAGCAGCUUUUACCUGUGAGCCAUUUACAGCAAGCAGUUAUAUAAAUUGUGUGAUCAGAGGGUUAAGUCUCCCUGCAGAUGCAGAAUGCCCUACAGUUUGUUGUGAGAACACUACGCACCAACUGCUGGCUAUGAAUGCAUUCUCCAAGCUGACUCUGAAAUGGCAUAAUAAGAGCAACAGUUCUUUGCAGUCCAAGGCGGUCCAGGCACUGGGUGUUAGAUGGCUGAUCGAGGAGGAGGAGGAGGAGGAGGAGAAGGAGA